UCAGACGGCCAUAGCGACCUGGUCCUACCCGAUCCCAUCCCGAACUCGGAAGUCAAGCAGGCCCACGUUCUGCCCUGUACUGCUCUCGCGAGCGGGAAAUGCAGAAAGCCGUCACCC
rnacentral:rRNA from 2 species